UACGUAGGGUGCGAGCGUUGUCCGGAAUUAUUGGGCGUAAAGAGCUUGUAGGCGGUUUGUCGCGUCUGCUGUGAAAUCUCAAGGCUCAACCUUGAGCUUGCAGUGGGUACGGGCAGACUAGAGUGUGGUAGGGGAGACUGGAAUUCCUGGUGUAGCGGUGAAAUGCGCAGAUAUCAGGAGGAACACCGAUGGCGAAGGCAGGUCUCUGGGCCACUACUGACGCUGAGGUGCGAAAGCAUGGGGAGCGAACAGG
rnacentral:rRNA from 1 species